UACAGAGGGUGCAAGCGUUGUUCGGAAUUAUUGGGCGUAAAGCGCGUGUAGGCGGUGGCGCUUGUCGGGUGUGAAAGCCCUCGGCUUAACCGAGGAAGUGCGCCCGAAACUGCGUCGCUAGAGUGCCGGAGAGGGUGGCGGAAUUCCGGGUGUAGAGGUGAAAUUCGUAGAUAUCCGGAGGAACACCAGUGGCGAAGGCGGCCACCUGGACGGACACUGACGCUGAGACGCGAAAGCGUGGGGAGCAAAC
rnacentral:rRNA from 1 species